ACGCUGUAUGGAGAAGAUACAUUACCAAAGUUGAGACACGAACCAAAGUGAAGUUGGUGUCAGGUUUUCGAGUCAGAAUUUUUAGUCAGGUUUUUGGAACUAGUGUCAGAUUUUUACCGGGUGGCUUCACGUCAUUUUGAUCUACAAAGUGCUCUACAUUCAUAGAAACGCUUUGAUUUACUAUAAAUCCCACACCAAGCUUUACUCACACGACAUUUCUUGAGAUUUGUUGUUUCCCGUGAAUGAGACAAAUCAUUGGACACUCAUUGUAAGUACUGCGGAUGUGAAGCCACGAUAAGAAGAAACAAAACAGGAAAUAUCGCACCUCUCAUUAUCGAUUAAAAUUGGAAAUCACGGUAUAGCCGGCGAUAACAAACUAUCUUGAUAACCAACAGGUCGUUCUAAUUAAGACCAUACCUUAACAGAGGAAUUGGGACGACUGGGAGUGUUUCUUUGCAAGUAUGCCGGAUACAUUGCACUGGAAAGAAACAUCGACUACAACCAAAAAGACUUGCUGUACUUCAGAAGGAUGAUCAAGAAAGCUCUUUAAGAUGGGCAUCUUUAGGACUACGGCAUGCUUGGGUCUCCACGACGCAGAAAUUAUUCUUGCCAAGGGCUGUGGUAAUUUACAUAUCCUACUCAAAAAUCUGACACCAAGUGAUAUUUUCUUCGAGAGACGAGAUUUGGUUUCCAAAUGCAUUCAGGGAGAUCCCGUAGAAAUGAUGCGUGGUGGAAGAUGUCAACAAUCAAGAAAAUAUAAUGUUUAAAAGAGAAUUUGUUUGUAACCGUGCAAUUCGCUGUAAAAUGAUCACUCUUCCACGGGCGUGACAGAAAAAUCUGUCUCAAAAAUCUGACACCAAUUAAGAGCGGCUGUCCAGAAAUAUCGAGCACGGGGCGGCCACAGUCAAAAAAUAAAAGUCCUUCAUUUUU